UACGAAGGGGGCUAGCGUUGCUCGGAAUCACUGGGCGUAAAGCGCACGUAGGCGGAUUUUUAAGUCAGGGGUGAAAUCCUGGAGCUCAACUCCAGAACUGCCUUUGAUACUGGGAAUCUCGAGUCCGGGAGAGGUGAGUGGAACUGCGAGUGUAGAGGUGAAAUUCGUAGAUAUUCGCAAGAACACCAGUGGCGAAGGCGGCUCACUGGCCUGGUACUGACGCUGAGGUGCGAAAGCGUGGGGAGCAAACAGG
rnacentral:rRNA from 1 species